GAUCAGUCCUGGUUUUCAGAUCUUCCCAUUCUGUGUUCAGCACUUAACACAGACCACACCAUGGAUGUGGGGCUGAUUUGGGUUUUCCUUGUUGCUUUUUUAAAUGGUAUCCAGUGUGAGGUGCAGCUUGUGGAGUCUGGGGGAGGCUUGGUGCAGCCUGGAGAGUCCCUGAAACUCUCCUGUGCAGCCUCUGGAUUCACUUUCAGUAACUACUGGAUGUACUGGAUCCGCCAGGCUCCAGGGAAGGGGCUGGAGUGGAUUGGAAAUAUUAAUCCAGGUGGUGGUACCACAAACUAUGCACCAUCCCUGAAGGACCGAUUCACCAUCUCCAGAGACAAUGCCAAGAACACUCUGUACCUGCAAAUGAACAGUGUGAGAUCUGAGGACACUGCCACUUAUUACUGUGCUAAAGACACAGUGAGGGGACUUCAGUGUGAACCCAGACAUAAACCUCACUGUGAGACCACUCAGGGCCACCAGGGGGCACACAGCACACAGAAAGAAUAUAAAUUCAUCAUAGGAAUAUCUGCAGACAGGAUCAGAUUAGUCACACUCCUCUCAGAUAUCUGGGCUGCAUUUAUUUUCUUACAGUUUCCUGGAAAUUCUCUCUAA